CUUAAAAAUGCGCCCUUGGCAAAUUCUAAAAGAUGUCAUGAUAUUCUCAAUGAGCUUGACAAGUUGUUAUCUAACGAAACUCUUAAUACA